UACGUAGGGGGCAAGCGUUGUCCGGAAUUAUUGGGCGUAAAGAGCGCGUAGGCGGUCCGAUAAGUCGGCUGUGAAAGUCAGGGGCUCAACCCUUGGAAGCCGGCCGAUACUGUCGGACUAGAGUCCGGAAGAGGCGAGUGGAAUUCCCGGUGUAGCGGUGAAAUGCGCAGAUAUCGGGAGGAACACCAAUGGCGAAGGCAGCUCGCUGGGACGGUACUGACGCUGAGGCGCGAAAGCGUGGGGGAGCAAACAGG
rnacentral:rRNA from 1 species